GGGGGACGUUGUGAAGCUAACCCAGGUCAUGGAGAAAGGCUUCGAGAUUGAUCAGAUCGAACCGCUGGAGAAUUAUCCUACGGUUCUAAUUUUCACAACAGGAUCUGGAAUCAGGUUUGUUGCCAUUCAAUUGAUUUUGGAUUCACUAAUUUUGAGGCAAUAGAAUGAAUUCGAUUGUUAACAUGUUUCAAUUUCUGUUCUGGAGUCCGAUCAGGUCUUUGAUUGAAUUAGGGUUUAAUGUUGAUGAGGGAUUCAAAGUGAAGCUCUUCUAUGGGGCCAGAAACCUUGAAAGAAUGGCUUAUCAGGUCUGUAAUAAUGUUGUUCUUGUUCAUUUUCAUGUGUUUUCUAGGAUUGUAUUUUCUUUUUCGAUUUGUGACUACUUUUGUUUGAUUGAUGUCUGCAAUGUGCCUUUUGCUUUAUUUUGGUUCUAACUACAUAUUGGUUUGAAUGGGCGUGGAAUUCUUCUAGAGAAACUAAUCUGGAAACCAACCAAAUCCGAGAGCUUUGGUACUUCAAAAAUUUUAGAUAUUAUUUUAAUUAAGUUUGCAUAAAUUUUGAAUUGGGGAUUUAAGUUUUGGGUUGAGAAAAAGUUCAUGGUCAUUGAUGUGAAUGAAUUGAGACACAUAUUGAGGAGCAGCACGAAUCCAUUAUCAGAGAAACAAAAGUAAAUCUACUCACCGAACUUAUGAAUCCAUUAACAGAUAUUGAGGAGCAGCACGAAUUGUUGCAAGGUUAGGUUUCCCAGUUGAAUGCUGAGAUUGCAGACUUCAAUGAAGCAAGAGAAAAGGAGUUGCCUCUUCUUCAAGAGGUAGAUGCCAAAGUUAAAGAAUUGCGCCAAACCAUUGAAGGCGUUAACAACGACCAAGUUAAAGUCAGAACUUCUCUUAAGAAGUUGAAGGAGAAGAGUGGAGAAAUCGACAAAGAGGAGAAGGGAUUUGUAGAUGCAAAAUGAGUUCAACGUACUGGUGGUCAGAAGUUGGCUUUGCACGAUUCUGUAUGAGUGGUGGGUUGUUUCUUUUUCUGCAAUCUGUAUCUAGAAUUGUAAUAAUAUUGGUGCAUAUAUAUUUUAGUCAA